CGGGAGGCAGCAGUGGGGAAUUUUGGACAAUGGGCGAAAGCCUGAUCCAGCAAUGCCGCGUGAGUGAAGAAGGCCUUCGGGUUGUAAAGCUCUUUUGUCAGGGAAGAAACGGUCUGGGCUAAUACCCUAGGCUAAUGACGGUACCUGAAGAAUAAGCACCGGCUAACUACGUGCCAGCAGCCGCGGUAAUACGUAGGGUGCGAGCGUUAAUCGGAAUUACUGGGCGUAAAGGGUGCGCAGGCGGUUGUGCAAGACAGAUGUGAAAUCCCCGGGCUUAACCUGGGAAUUGCAUUUGUGACUGCACGGCUAGAGUGUGUCAGAGGGGGGUAGAAUUCCACGUGUAGCAGUGAAAUGCGUAGAGAUGUGGAGGAAUACCGAUGGCGAAGGCAGCCCCCUGGGAUAACACUGACGCUCAUGCACGAAAGCGUGGGGAGCAAACAGGAUUAGAUACCCUGGUAGUCCACGCCCUAAACGAUGUCAACUAGUUGUUGGGUCUUAAUUGACUUGGUAACGCAGCUAACGCGUGAAGUUGACCGCCUGGGGAGUACGGUCGCAAGAUUAAAACUCAAAGGAAUUGACGGU
rnacentral:rRNA from 1 species